AUUGAACGCUGGCGGCAUGCCUUACACAUGCAAGUCGAACGGCAGCACGGGUGCUUGCACCUGGUGGCGAGUGGCGAACGGGUGAGUAAUACAUCGGAACAUGUCCUGUAGUGGGGGAUAGCCCGGCGAAAGCCGGAUUAAUACCGCAUACGAUCUACGGAUGAAAGCGGGGGACCUUCGGGCCUCGCGCUAUAGGGUUGGCCGAUGGCUGAUUAGCUAGUUGGUGGGGUAAAGGCCUACCAAGGCGACGAUCAGUAGAUGGUCUGAGAGGACGACCAGCCACACUGGGACUGAGACACGGCCCAGACUCCUACGGGAGGCAGCAGUGGGGAAUUUUGGACAAUGGGCGAAAGCCUGAUCCAGCAAUGCCGCGUGUGUGAAGAAGGCCUUCGGGUUGUAAAGCACUUUUGUCCGGAAAGAAAUACUUGGCUCUAAUACAGUCGGGGGAUGACGGUACCGGAAGAAUAAGCACCGGCUAACUACGUG
rnacentral:rRNA from 1 species